rnacentral:rRNA from 1 species
GAUGAACGCUAGCGACAGGCCUAACACAUGCAAGUCGAGGGGCAGCACAUGAGUAGCAAUACGAUGGUGGCGACCGGCGCACGGGUGGGUAACACGUAUGCAACCUACCUGUAAGAGGGGAAUAACCCGGAGAAAUUCGGACUAAUACCGCAUAAUACUACGAAACUACAUGGUUUUGUAGUUAAACAUUUACGGCUUUCAGAUGGGCAUGCGUAUGAUUAGCUAGUUGGUGAGGUAAUGGCUCACCAAGGCAACGAUCAUUAGGGGUUCUGAGAGGAAGGUCCCCCACACUGGUACUGAGACACGGACCAGACUCCUACGGGAGGCAGCAGUGAGGAAUAUUGGUCAAUGGGCGAGAGCCUGAACCAGCCAAGUCGCGUGAAGGAAGAAGGUUCUAUGGAUUGUAAACUUCUUUUGUAAGGGAAUAAAAAGUGGUACGUGUACCAUAUUGUAUGUACUUUACGAAUAAGGAUCGGCUAACUCCGUGCCAGCCGCCGCAGUAA